rnacentral:rRNA from 1 species
CAGCCGCCGCGGUAAAACGAAGGGUGCAAGCGUUACUCGGAAUUACUGGUCGCAAAGCGUGCGUAGGCGGUGAGUUAAGUCUGCUGUGAAAUCCCCGGGCUCAACCUGGGAAUGGCAGUGGAUGCUGGCUCGCUAGAGUGUGUCAGAGGAUGGUGGAAUUCCCGGUGUAGCGGUGAAAUGCGUAGAUAUGCGGAGGAACACCGAUGGCGAAGGCAGCCCCCUGGGCCAAUACUGACGCUCAUGCACGAAAGCGUGGGGAGCAAACAGGAUUAAAGACCCCGUAGUCCCUGUCUCUUAUACA